UGCAGUAUAUUAUUAAUAUUAUUUUGAAAAUUUGAUUUUUUAUGUUUUCUAAUUAUAAUUAUUGUGUUUUUAUAACACACGUGUAGAUGGCGCUUUUACUCCUAGUUGUACCUUACGGCGGCUUUAGAAACAUUUGAGGGCCACUGAUAAGGUAGUCGAUACCAGUCCAUACUAUCUUAGUCCGUGCCUUGGACUCAAAAACAUAGCAGAACGUACACACGAAGCGAUUACUGGCAGUAAUAGCGCAAUAAUAUAUCCACAGUGCGGUCGUGAACAACAAGAACAAAAGGACAACGACGCACAAGGAGCAGAGUCCGAGGGUAAUGCAGAACCAGCUGAUACCGCCACAACAAAAUCAACAAAUAACACUGACUCGAGCCGACCAUUGCGUACUGAUCACCAGCACGUCGAUAACUUCGAUAAUAAUUUUUCAACUAGCGGUAAUAAUAUGGAGACACCUACAUCGUCGUCCAAGAGGCCUGCUGAUUCCCCGGCGGGGUCUUCUUUUAGCAAGAAACCCAAUAUGGUUUUACCUGGUACUGCUAGCGCCACUGCUUCUGAUAGUGAUACGGGAAAUCCCAGUCCUGAAAAUGCUGUACUACCCAGACCCACGCACAUUACAACAAAUUACAUAUGAUAUCCCAAAUAUUUUUUUCCCGUUAAAAAAAUUUCCCGAUUCAUACGAACUCUCUGGCUCUUAUAUAACAUAUUUACAUAUACAUUCCUUCGAUGUUUUCUGUCCACGUGUCUUGGUACUUGCCGGUCAAACGUCGUAUAUUAUUAUCAUUACUGUAAUAACACAUCGUGAUGGAUUUAUCGAAGUUCAUGUCCCGUUGCAAUUAUUAUUAUACACCCAUUAUGUAGGUACCUCCUAAUAUAAUAAUAUAUUAGUUCAACGAGAGAAGGACGCAAUUAAUCCGUGUUUUAAAUUCUCCAACAGCACCGCGCCGGUCGUGUCGUUUUUUAAUUAAUUCGGUUU